GACAGAGGGUGCAAACGUUGUUCGGAUUUACUGGGCGUAAAGGGCGCGUAGGCGGCCCUCUUUGUCGCGUGUGAAAGCCCCGGGCUCAACCUGGGAAUUGCGCGCGAAACGGGGGGGCUUGAGUUCGGGAGAGGAGCGUGGAAUUCCCAGUGUAGAGGUGAAAUUCGUAGAUAUUGGGAAGAACACCGGUGGCGAAGGCGGCGCUCUGGACCGAGACUGACGCUGAGGCGCGAAAGCGUGGGGAGCAAACAGG
rnacentral:rRNA from 1 species